UACGUAGGGUCCAAGCGUUAUCCGGAAUCACUGGGCGUAAAGCGUUUGUAGGCGGAAAUUUAAGUGAGAUGCGAAAUCUUGUGGCUCAACCAUAUAGACGGUAUCUCAUACUGGGUUUCUAGAAGAUAGCAGAGGUAAGUGGAAUUAGUAGUGUAGCGGUAAAAUGCGUAGAUAUUACUAGGAACACCAAUGGCGAAGGCAGCUUACUGGGCUAUAUUUGACGCUGAGAAACGAAAGCGUGGGGAGCGAACAGG
rnacentral:rRNA from 1 species